rnacentral:rRNA from 1 species
UACAGAGAUGGCUAGCGUUGUUCGGAUUUAUUGGGCGUAAAGGGUCUGUAGGCGGUUCGGAAAGUCGGAUGUGAAAUCCCACAGCUUAACUGUGGAACUGCAUUCGAAACUUCCGGGCUUGAGUGUGAGAGGGGUGAAGGGAAUUCCCGGUGUAAGGGUGAAAUCUGCAGAGAUCGGGAGGAACACCAGUCGCGAAGGCGCUUCACUGGCUCAUUACUGACGCUGAGGGACGAAAGCUAGGGUAGCAAACGGG